rnacentral:rRNA from 1 species
GAUGAACGCUGGCGGCGUGCCUAAUACAUGCAAGUCGAGCGAACAGACGAGGAGCUUGCUCCUCUGACGUUAGCGGCGGACGGGUGAGUAACACGUGGAUAACCUACCUAUAAGACUGGGAUAACUUCGGGAAACCGGAGCUAAUACCGGAUAAUAUAUUGAACCGCAUGGUUCACUAGUGAAAGACGGUUUUGCUGUCUCUUAUAGAUGGAUCCGCGCCGCAUUAGCUAGUUGGGAAGGUAACGGCUUACCCAGUGGACGAUGGGUACCCGACCUGAGAGGGUGAUCGCACAACCUGGAACGGAGGCACGGUCAAGACCCCUACGGGAGGCAGACGUAGGGAAUCUUCCGCGAUGGGCGCAAGCCUGACGGAGCAACGCCGCGUGAGUGAUGAAGGUCUUCGGAUCGUAAAACUCUGUUAUUAGGGAGGAACAAAUGUGUAAGUAACUAUGCACGUCUUGACGGUACCUAAACAGAAAGCCACGGCUAACUACGUG